GAUGAAGAACGCAGCGAAAUGCGAUAAGUAGUGUGAAUUGCAGAAUUCAGUGAAUCAUCGAAUCUUUGAACGCACAUUGCGCCCCUUGGUAUUCCAUGGGGCAUGCCUGUUCGAGCGUCAUUUGUACCUUCAAGCUUUGCUUGGUGUUGGGUGUUUGUCUCGCCUUUGCGUGUAGAUUCGCCUUAAAAUAAUUGGCAGCCGGCGUAUUGAUUUCGGAGCGCAGUACAUCUCGCGCUUUGCACUCAUAACGACAGCGUCCAAAAGUACAUUUUACACUCUUGACCUCGGAUCAGGUAGGGAUACCCGCUGAACUUAAGCAUAUCAAUAAGCGGAGGA
rnacentral:misc_RNA from 1 species